rnacentral:ncRNA from 1 species
UCAAAUGUGAUUAGGGAGACUAGUGUUUUACAAAGCAGUUUCAGAGAGUCGGUGGGUGGUGCGAACCGAUACUGUAGUAGAAUGCAACUCACUCCUUAGCAGUUACCUGGAAAGACGUUGGUUCAACGUGUGAUUAUAGGUAAACGGGAAGUCCCGUUAUAGACGAUGGGUUUGAUAGAACCUAGAUGAGAGGUUUCUUAUUGAUAGAAACAAUUAGGGUGGUAACGCGUGGAAUUAAUCCUCGUCCCUGCA